rnacentral:lncRNA from 10 species
CACAAAUCUCACACCUAGUCAUUAAUCCAUUAACACGAGGAUAUAUAGUCAUACAGAUGACUGUCAUUGAUAUGGUUUGGCUCUGUGUCCCCACAUCUUGAAUUGUAAUCCUCAUAAUUCCCAGGUGUAGAGGGAGGGACCAGAUGGGAGGUGAUUGGAUCACGGGGGUGGUUUUACCCAUGCUGUUCUGGUGGUAGUGAGUGAGUCUCACAAGACCUGAUGGUUUUAAAAGUGGCAAUUUUUCCCAUGUUUGCAUUAAUUUUCUUCCUUGCCACCUUGUGAAGAAGGUGCCUGCUUUCCCUCUCCUAUGAUGAUGAAGAACCUGCGACAUAAAGUGUUUAACGACCUCCCCAAGAUCACAAAGCUACUAAGUGACACAGCAGGAUUCUGAUUCAGGCAGUUUGGAUCCUGAGUCCACACUUAUAACUCAAACAGCCUGUUGGCUCUCUAAAACAUGCCUAUAAUAUAUAUUUAAUAUAUGUUUCUUUAUAUGACCUUACCCUUUGCAACCUAGAUUUCAGAAACAUAUAGUUUAUUUAGGAUUUAUCUUAUUGUAUUAUAAAUUAAGCCAAUCACCAUUUUUGGUUGAAUAUUUUACUUCAGAUGGCCAAUAAAAAAUGUGACUCACCC